rnacentral:rRNA from 1 species
GACGAACGCUGGCGGCGUGCUUAACACAUGCAAGUCGAACGGUGAAGUAGAGCUUGCUCUAUGGAUCAGUGGCGAACGGGUGAGUAACACGUGGGCAACCUGCCCCAGACUCUGGGAUAACUCCUCGAAAGAGGGGCUAAUACCGGAUAUUUGCAUUGCAAGACAUCUUGUGAUGAAGAAAGAAUUUCGGUCUGGGAUGGGCCCGCGGCCUAUCAGCUUGUUGGUGAGGUAACGGCUCACCAAGGCGACGACGGGUAGCCGGCCUGAGAGGGCGACCGGCCACACUGGGACUGAGACACGGCCCAGACUCCUACGGGAGGCAGCAGUGGGGAAUAUUGGGCAAUGGGCGCAAGCCUGACCCAGCAACGCCGCGUGAGGGAUGAAGGUCCUCGGAUUGUAAACCUCUUUCAGCAGGGACGAAGCGAAAGUGACGGUACCUGCAGAAGAAGCACCGGCUAACUACGUGCCAGCCGCCGCAGUAA